UACGAAGGGGGCUAGCGUUGCUCGGAAUCACUGGGCGUAAAGGGUGCGUAGGCGGGUCUUUAAGUCAGGGGUGAAAUCCUGGAGCUCAACUCCAGAACUGCCUUUGAUACUGAAGAUCUUGAGUUCGGGAGAGGUGAGUGGAACUGCGAGUGUAGAGGUGAAAUUCGUAGAUAUUCGCAAGAACACCAGUGGCGAAGGCGGCUCACUGGCCCAUUACUGACGCUGAGGCACGAAAGCGUGGGGAGCAAACAGG
rnacentral:rRNA from 1 species